UAAGACCCUGUUCACACUAGCAUUUUUUUUUAUCGAUCUAAUUUGAAUCGAUCUAAAUAAAACCAGUUAGCGUUCAAAUCAUCUUUAAUCAUAUCGAUCUAUAUCGGUCUAAUAUGAACCACUGCGUUCACACUACAAUUAAAAACGCAAUCGAUCUAACCUUUUUGCCCGUAAAACUGUAAACACUGUGUAUAAAUAGAACUGAUUUAUCAAAUUCAUGUGCUGAUACACUGAUACACACACUUGGGAAAAAAAUUUGAUAAAGUUAUUGUUUCUCUUGAAUCACAAUUUAAAAUUUUGAUACUGGUGUUAUUGCAGUUUUCUUUAAUUUUGAAAAAAAAUAACUGUAGCAACGAAGUUACAACACGACGCCGGAAAUACUGCGGUUCCUGCAAAGAAAAAAAAUCAACAUAAGAAAAGAAAGACACAGAUUUCGCAAAUCUAUGCUAUGGCGAAGACAACAUGUUUACAGUUUGUUUUAAAGGUCUUUUAACAGAGAAAUAUGGGUUAAACAACGA
rnacentral:lncRNA from 1 species